rnacentral:lncRNA from 1 species
UUGGCAACCACUGGAGGUGGAGAGAACAUGUCAGGGUGAUUUCCAGGGCUUCCAAACCUCCUGGCUCCGGGAAGGGUGUGAGCACUGGCUGCUGCCUCAUCUGUCACAGUGCUUUUAGAUAGCUAUGCGAUGCUGAAACUGAUAAGAUAAUUAAGGUGCUAAAGGCAGGCAGCUUAUGAGGAUAAACCUGGCAGCUGCUCUCUGAAGUGGCUUUGGCUGAAAGCUGUGUCCUGGUGAGGUGAGCUGUGCAUGCCAUGCUUCAGACCCACGUUUUGGCACACAGAAGAGUAUCAGAGUGAUUCACUGGAUCACAGGCAGACCAGCUUACUAUCACCUCUUGAGCAAGUGAGACACGCAGGAAGAAAAAGCUUCCUCAAGAUAAGAGCAGGAUCGUAUACUGUACGUGCAUUCAGUGGAUCAAAACAUGAAGCUUUGCUGACAGCAUUUCCUUCUCCAUCCACAACGCUGGUAUCCUCUGCCUUGUAUUUCCAAGGUGUGUUCUCAACUCUGACAUUCAGGUUAUCAAGAGGCUAACACUAGCUUAUUAUCAUGCCAUUUUUCUGACUGCAAGGGGAUUUACACACAGACUGAAGAACUGCAGAAUAGAUAGAGGCAAGGGAAUUACUGUAAAAAAUAAUCCAGCCUCAUUUUUCCUCAUUUGACUCUUCAGUCACUUAUUUGUUUUCUUGGUUAGUAUCCAAAUUUAUUCUUGAGCUUGGUUUGGCAACUCAGCUUCUUC